rnacentral:tRNA from 1 species
CCUCAUAGCUUAGUUGGUAAAUCAUCUACCUCCAAUGCAGGAGACCCGGGUUCGAUUCCUGGGUUGAGGA